rnacentral:rRNA from 1 species
UACGGAGGGUGCAAGCGUUGUCCGGAAUCACUGGGCGUAAAGGGCGCGUAGGCGGCUCGGUAAGUAGGGGGUGAAAUCCUGCGGCUUAACCGCAGGGCUGCCUUCUAAACUGUCGAGCUUGAGCACGGUAGAGGCAGAUGGAAUUCCCGGUGUAGCGGUGGAAUGCGUAGAGAUCGGGAAGAACAUCAGUGGCGAAGGCGGUCUGCUGGGCCGUUGCUGACGCUGAGGCGCGACAGCGUGGGGAGCAAACCGG